UAGGGAAUCUUCCACAAUGGACGAAAGUCUGAUGGAGCAACGCCGCGUGAGUGAAGAAGGUUUUCGGAUCGUAAAGCUCUGUUGUUGGUGAAGAAGGAUAGAGGCAGUAACUGGUCUUUAUUUGACGGUAAUCAACCAGAAAGUCACGGCUAACUACGUGCCAGCAGCCGCGGUAAUACGUAGGUGGCAAGCGUUGUCCGGAUUUAUUGGGCGUAAAGCGAGCGCAGGCGGAAUGAUAAGUCUGAUGUGAAAGCCCACGGCUCAACCGUGGAACUGCAUCGGAAACUGUCAUUCUUGAGUGCAGAAGAGGAGAGUGGAACUCCAUGUGUAGCGGUGGAAUGCGUAGAUAUAUGGAAGAACACCAGUGGCGAAGGCGGCUCUCUGGUCUGCAACUGACGCUGAGGCUCGAAAGCAUGGGUAGCGAACAGGAUUAGAUACCCUGGUAGUCCACGCUGUAAACGA
rnacentral:rRNA from 1 species